CAGUAGCCACGGUAAUACGAAGGGGGCUAGCGUUGUUCGGAAUUACUGGGCGUAAAGCGCACGCAGGCGGCUCGAUAAAUUAGAAGUGAAAGCCUUGGGCUUAACCUGAGAAUUGCUUUUAAGACUGUCGAGCUAGAAUCCAGAAGAGGGUAGUGGAAUUCCGAGUGUAGAGGUGAAAUUCGUAGAUAUUCGGAAGAACACCAGUGGCGAAGGCGACUACCUGGUCUGGCAUUGACGCUCAUGUGCGAAAGCGUGGGGAGCAAACAGGAUUAGAUACCCCUGUAGUCCCUGUCUCUUAUAC
rnacentral:rRNA from 1 species